rnacentral:sRNA from 1 species
GCUGGGCAUGGUGGUGCACGCCUGUAAUCCCAGCUACUCGGGAGGCUGAGGCAGGAGAAUUGCUUGAACCUGGGAGGUGGAGGUUGCAGUGAACUGAGAUCACACCACUGCACUCCAGCCUGGGUGACAGAGCAAGACUCUGUCUCAA